rnacentral:rRNA from 1 species
UGAAUGUUUUUGGAUGACUUGUGUUAAGGGGUGAAAGGCCAACCAAAUUCCGCUAUAGCUAGUUCUCCGCGAAAACUAUUUAGGUAGUGCGUUGUGUGAAUGAUAUCGGGGGUAAAGCACUGGAUGGGCUAGGGGGAAGCGAUUCCUACCAAACCUAACCAAACUCUGAAUACCGAUACUCUAUGCACAGCAGACAGACUAUAGGUGCUAAGGUCUAUAGUCGAGAGGGAAACAGCCCAGAUCACCAGUUAAGGCCCCCAAAUAAUGGCUAAGUGGGAAAGUAUGUAGAAAGACCAAGACAGGCAGGAGGUUGGCUUAGAAGCAGCCAUCCUUUAAAGAUAGCGUAACAGCUCACUGUUCUAAUUAAGUUUUUCCGCGACGAAGAUGUACCGGGGCUAAAGCCAUUUGCCGAAACUGUGACUUUGUAAUUAUUGCGAUAAUUACAAGGGGUAGCGGAGCGUUCUGUAAGCCGUUGAAGAUGUUUUGAAAAAGACGUUGGAGGUAUCAGAAGUGCGAAUGCUGACAUGAGUAGCGAUAAAGAGUGUGAGAGACACUCUCGCCGAAAUCCUAAGGUUUUCUGCGUAAAGUUAAUCUGCGCAGGGUUAGUCGACCCCUAAGGCGAGGCAGAAAUGCGUAGUCGAUGGGAAACAGGUUAAUAUUCCUGUACCUUCUGAGAGUUGACGGAUCAUGUAAAUAGUAUUUUCUUAUUGGAUUGAAAAUGCUGUGAAAUGGUUCCUGGAAAUAGCCUCAGAUUAUAGAUCGUACCUAAACCGACACAGGUAGGAAGGUAGAGUAUACCAAGGCGCUUGAGAGAAUGAUGUUGAAGGAACUCGGCAAAAUGCUCUUGUAACUUCGGAAUAAGAGAGACCAAAUUUUAGGCAACUAAUCUUUGGUGGCACAGAAUAGGGAGAAGCGACUGUUUAUCAAAAACACAGGUCUCUGCUAAGUCGUAAGACGAUGUAUAGGGACUGACGCCUGCCCGGUGCCGGAAGGUUAAAUGGUGGAGUGCAAGCUCUAAAAUGAAGCCCCGGUGAACGGCGGCCGUAACUAUAACGGUCCUAAGGUAGCGAAAUUCCUUGUCAGGUAAGUUCUGACCCGCAUGAAUGGCGUAACGAUUUCUCCGCUGUCUCCAACAUCAACUCAGCGAAAUUGAAUUCUCCGUGAAGAUGCGGAGUACGUGUAGUUAGACGGAAAGACCCCGUGCACCUUUACUAUAGCUUUACAGUGGUAUUAGAAAAAUAAUGUGUAGGCUAGGUGGUAGACUUUGAAGCAUUUGCGCUAGCAGAUGUGGAGUCAAAAGAUGAAACACCACCCUUUAUUUUUUUGAUAUCUAACCAUCAUCCAUUAUCUGGAUGUGGGACCCUGUAUGGUGGGUAGUUUGACUGGGGCGGUCGCCUCCCAAAGAGUAACGGAGGCGCGCGAUGGUAGGCUCAGGCUGGUCGGAAAUCAGCUUUAGAGUGCAAUGGCAAAAGCCUGCC